CCUACGGGAGGCUGCAGUGAGGAAUAUUGGUCAAUGGGCGGGAGCCUGAACCAGCCAAGUCGCGUGAGGGAAGACGGUCCUAUGGAUUGUAAACCGCUUUAGGCGGGGAGCAAUGCCGGGCACGCGUGCCCGGAGGGAGAGUACCCGCAGAAUAAGCAGCGGCUAACUCUGUGCCAGCAGCCGCGGUAAUACGGAGGAUGCGAGCGUUAUCCGGCUGUAUGGGGUUUAAAGGGUGCGUAGGCGGAUUUUUAAGUCAGCGGUAAAAUGUCCGGGCUCAACCCGGGCCGGCCGUUGAAACUGGGGAUCUGGAGUGGGGGAGAAGUAGGCGGAAUGCGGGGUGGAGCGGUGAAAUGCAUAGAUAUCACGCAGAACUCCGAUUGCGAAGGCAGCAUACCGGAGCGCGACUGACGCUGAGGCACGAAAGCGUGGGGAUCGAACAGGAUUAGAUACCCGGGUAGUC
rnacentral:rRNA from 1 species